UAAUUUGAAUGUACUUAUAAUGAUAUUUGUAUGUAAUGUAAUUUUUAAGAUUAGUCAUAAGAACUUAAUCCAUUAAUAUUUAUAUAAAACUAAGAUUUCCUUCCUCUUAUUAAUACCCAUCUAUGUACCAACUAUUUUUGAAAUCGGACCAGUCAUUAAAAGUAAUAUCCAAGUAAUAAUUAAACAUUUGGAAUUCAAUCGAGAAUGCACACCACAGUCAGCAAAUAAACUGUUUUCACCAAUACCCCACCAAGCCGCUAGGAGCGCUAUAGGCUACUUGGCGCUGUAGGCCAAGUGGCGCUAUAGAAGAAGAAGAUAGGUGGCGCUAUAGGCUUGGUGUGUUAGUGAAAAAAGCAGAGUUGCUUUAAGCAUAUCUCCAUCCCGCUCGCUUUAAAAAUAACCUAGAAAAUUAUGGUUUCGUUAGCCGAAAGUGGCAUGCCCAAAUGUUUAGUGCCAAAAAGGGUUAUAUAUAGUUCUAAAAGGUAAAUAUACAGUUAUACAAGUAAGACAAAUUUUUGAAAUGUAUGCCCUAAUAUUUUUUCAGCAGCAUUGGCCAAAAAUUCUGAGGACCCGGACAGAUGUUUGAAAAAGGCGAUGUCCAAUGACAAAAGUAAGCUAACAAAACAAAUACAAGGCUUACUAACAAUAAUUGCCAAGCACGUGGUCGCCCUUAAGAAUUAUGCACACAGCAAAUAAUAAGGGCGCGAGGGGCUCAAGGAUUAAAAUAAAAUUAAGUACAGUUAUCAGUACUUCACAUAUUAUUGGCUUGUUGCCCAGAACUUUCGUACAUACUAAGCCAUUGGAUUUGAAGUUUCUAUUAUUUUUUCCAAAUUUGAUGGACUUUGAGUUCUCCUUCUUGACAGUGAAAAUUGAAACAUUCAGAACGAAAACGUUAACAAUGAUGACGGCGAACUUUUGAAAAUGGAAGGCGCCAAAGUAAUAGUCGAUAAUACGCAAACCGCCGCUGGCAAGCUGAGGUGGACUAUGCAGAUGGAGCUUCUGCUGAUCGAUAAUUGGCAGGAGAACAUCGAGCAGUUGCGGGGAGCUCGGAAAAAUGUCCACGUGUACAUGGCCCAGUUCUUAAUGGAAGCUGGUAGUGAUGUGUCCUACAAAGGAGUUCCGGACAAAAAUUGAAAACCUGGCCAAAAAGUAUAGGCAGAAAACAAAUAAAAUGCGGACAAGCGGUGGGGCUUCAUCCGUGUGGCGAGUAGGAAUACUUCGUGGAGGUCUUAGAUGUGGACCCCGAUGACAUGGAAGCCUCCAUCUGCAGUGGAAGUCAACGCUCAGCAGCACUGCGCCCCCUGCAAAGCAAGGAAAGGUGGACCACAAGGCCGAGCUUUUGGAGAUAGCUCAAGAAAGGCUAGAGGAGCAGCGAGCGCAAACCGAGAUCAUGUCAAGGACGGCAGAAAGCCAAACUCAAAUCCAAUCUGAUUUGUUUAAACUGUUGAGGAAAUCAAAAAAUUUGAACAAUUUAGAAUAAAUAGGUUAAUUUAUAAAUAA